UAAUAGUGUAUAUUAAAGUUGUUGCAGUUAAAAAGCUCGUAGUUGAAUGUUGGUGUCGAACGAGCGGUCAGCUUCGGCUGUACUGCUCUCUCGACUCCUUCCUUCUGUGGACUACGUCGCACUUUACUGUGUGGCGCUAGGACGCAGAUCGUUUACUGUGAAAAAAUUAGAGUGUUCAAAGCAGGCCGUACGCUUGAAUACAUUAGCAUGGAAUAAUGGAAUAGGACGUCGGGCCUAUUUUGUUGGUCCUAGGACCGUCGUAAUGAUUAAUAGGGACAGUUGGGGCCGUUUAUAUUCCGUAGUCAGAGGUGAAAUUCUUGGAUUUACGGAAGAUAAACUACUGCGAAAGCAUUCGGCAAGGAUGUUUUCGUUAA
rnacentral:rRNA from 1 species